rnacentral:rRNA from 1 species
UGUAAAAAGGUGCCAGGGGACGCGGUAAGACGUGGGGGGCAAGGGUUGUCCUGAUUGAGUGGGGGGAAAGGGUGCGAAGGCGGUUCGUUAAGUCUGAGGUUAAAGAUCGGGGCCCAACCCUGGGAGUGCAUUGGAUACUGGCGGACUGGAGUGCAGUAGAGGCGAGUGGAAUUCCCAGGGUAGCGGUGAAAUGCGUAGAUAUUGGGAAGAACACCGGUGGCGUAGGCGACUCGCUGGGCUGUAACUGACGCUGAGGAACGAAAGCCAGGGGAGCGAAUGGGAUUAGAUACCCUAGUAGUC